UACGGAGGGUGCAAGCGUUAAUCGGAAUUACUGGGCGUAAAGCGUGCGUAGGCGGUUCGUUAAGUCUGUUGUGAAAGCCCCGGGCUCAACCUGGGAAUGGCAAUGGAUACUGGCGAGCUAGAGUGUGUCAGAGGAUGGUGGAAUUCCCGGUGUAGCGGUGAAAUGCGUAGAGAUCGGGAGGAACAUCAGUGGCGAAGGCGGCCAUCUGGGACAACACUGACGCUGAGAAGCGAAAGCAUGGGGAGCGAACAGG
rnacentral:rRNA from 1 species